rnacentral:rRNA from 1 species
CCUACGGGAGGCUGCAGUGGGGAAUAUUGCACAAUGGGGGAAACCCUGAUGCAGCGACGCCGCGUGAGUGAAGAAGGAUUUCGGUAUGUAAAGCUCUAUUAGCAGGGAAGAAAAAGACGGUACGUGAUUAAGAAGCCGCGGCUAAGUACGGGCCAGCAGCCGCGGCAAUACGUAGGGGGCAGGCGUUAUCCGGAUUUACUGGGUGUAAAGGGGGCGUAGACGGCGGUACAAGUCUGGAGUGAAAUGCCGGGGCUUAACCCCGGAACUGCUUUUGAAACUGUGUAGCUUGAGUGCAGGAGAGGUAAGUGGAAUUCCUAGUGUAGCGGUGAAAUGCGUAGAUAUUAGGAGGAACACCAGUGGCGAAGGCGGCUUACUGGACUGUAACUGACGUUGAGGCUCGAAAGCGUGGGGAGCAAACAGGAUUAGAUACCCUAGUAGUC